GGAGUUAGCCGGUGCUUCUUCUGUGAGUGAUGUCCUUCCUGCCGGCUAUUAACCCGCAGGCCUUCUUCCUCACUGAAAGUGCUUUACAACCCGAAGGCCUUCUUCACACACGCGGCAUGGCUGGAUCAGGGUUGCCCCCAUUGUCCAAUAUUCCCCACUGCUGCCUCCCGUAGGAGUCUGGGCCGUGUCUCAGUCCCAGUGUGGCUGAUCAUCCUCUCAGACCAGCUACGGAUCGUCGCCUUGGUGAGCCGUUACCUCACCAACCAGCUAAUCCGACAUAGGCUCAUCCGAUAGCGCGAGGCCCGAAGGUCCCCCGNUUUCCCCCGUAGGGCGUAUGCGGUAUUAGCCUGGGUUUCCCCCAGGUUAUCCCCCACUACCGGGCAGAUUCCUAUGCAUUACUCACCCGUCCGCCGCUCGCCACCAGGGAGCAAGCUCCCCGUGCUGCCGCUCGACUUGCAUGUGUUAGGCCUGCCGCCAGCGUUCAAUCUGAACCAAGAUCAAAUUCUGA
rnacentral:rRNA from 1 species